UUAGUUUAUUUGAUUAUUUUCUUCAUCUGAAAAGUAGGACUGUUUUAUCUCCCCACCUUCAAAAUUCCCAUUUCGUCCAUAUAUCUUGAUAUCAAGAUAUGCAAAUUGAGGUUCCUUUGGAAGACUUUGAGCUACAUGUAGUGAGGGAGGGUUGAGGUUCUUUCUUUCUUUCUCUCCCUUUUCUUUCUUGUCUCCCUUCCCUCUCCCCCCCCUCUCUCCCCUUCCCUCUCUCCUUCUAAGGCUAGGAUACCCACCCAAAACAAAAAUUCCUUUGGAUGAAGCCAGCUUACAUACAGCCCCCCCCCCCAUGCUCUUCCCUUCCCAUUCAUUAUCAGGGAGGCAUGAUCAGGUGCAGGGGAGCUUCCACCCCCUCCCCUUCCUUCUCCUAACAUGCGUCCGAGACUGUCUGGCUGCAGCAGCUCCCUCAACCCCCGUGUGAUUGAUCGCACCGUGGCUUCUGGCUGCCAGCAUUGGCAGCUAGCUGAUUGGCUGGUGGCUAACAGUCCCGGGACGAACAGUGUGGCAUCAAAUGGCCCGCGCUGCAGCACGUGAGACAAAGGGGCCAUGGCCCAUUGGCCAGGACGAACAGCUAGGGGCAUGUCAGCUGAGGAGAAAAGUUAGCAGUGAAUGCCUGGAGGCGGAACCAUGGCGGAGAAGCAGGCACGGCCAAGGGUAGGACCCGAAAAGUCCCAUUCCGCAAGGCAGAGCAAGACAAAGCAAAAGAAGGCAGCAAGUCACCGGUAACAGCAAGGCUUCUUGAAUCAUGGCCAGUGUUGCUGGCAAGUACCACACUUGUUCCCGACAAAAGCCCCUUCCCCUGGCGUCUCCUUAAAUCCUAUUCUCCAGCCUCCAGCUUGCUUACCUAGUUCACUCCCAAACAAAAUCCCGAGCUGCUGGUCGCAGACUCGCCUGCCUUGUUUUGCUUGCAAUCCCACAGCUGCAUCUGCAUCCAUCUCAUCGGCGAGCAACUGAAUCUGUAUGCCUGCCUGCCGUGUGCCUUCAAUUGUUAGUAGCCUUUAACAGGAAGGAUGAAAAGGCAACAGAGUUUGACCGCUUUCUUCAGCAAGAAACCAAGAUUGGAACAAUCAGAUACAACAGGAAUGGAUCCAAAACUGUCACAAGCACCACUGCCACCACUUGAACGUGGAGAAAGUCAAUCUCCUCAAUUGAAAGUCUUCCUGAUCUUCUUGAUUGCUGGACAUUGCAACAAUAUAGCAACUUUCAAGAGAAGUAUGAGGAACUGGAAGUUUCCAACAAAAUAUUAGGUUGUAAGUACUGCGCGAAACAUGACUUUGCAGUAGAGAAAGGCAUUCAUGUGUCCAAAGAAUGGAAACAUUUCAAGAUUGAGGCAGCAGGGAAAACUAAAGAAGUACAAUAAGCUUCUCUUAGGAAAAAAAUGAAAGAACAUUUUACAUCAAAAACUCACAUCAUUUGCAGAGAGAACUUAAAACAAGGGCAGCAAGAUGCUAUAACAAAAGCAGUAGAUAAGAUAACUGAAAAAUAUUUAUCUACUACUUGUAGAGUAUUUAUGACAGUUUACAAUCUGGCACAAAGAUGUAAACCAUUUUCAAACAUAGAAGGAGAGGUAGAAUUGCUAACUGUAAUUGGAAUAGAACUGGGAGUAGGAUUGCAUUCACGGUCAACUGCAGUGAAAAUAGUUGAUUUCAUUGCAAAAAAAAAUUAAAACCAAAAUGUUUGCUAGCAUUAUUGAACAGAAUCUGAAAAUAUGUUUGAUUAUUGAUGAAGCCUCAAUGCUAUCAUGCAAACCAGUUGUGAUAGUUUUCGUAAAAGUUGAGUAUUCAGAUAACCCACCAAAAUUUUUUAUUCAGCUUGUUGAAUUGGAAAAACAAGAUGCAGAGACAAUAUAUUCUUCAGUUAUGGAAAGUUUACAUAAUGGGUUUACUAUAGACUAUCUACAAAAAAAUUUAAUAGCAUUUUGCUCUGAUGGUGCCAGCAUUAUGCUUGGGAGAAAAUCUGGAGUGAGCACUAGAAUAGCAAAAGAGUUUCCAAACAUUAUAAUAUGGCACUGCUUAAACCAUUGCCUCCAACUUGUUUUAGAUGACUCCAUAAAGGACAUUAAGUAACUGAGUAACUGGAAGCGUUGCGGUGAGACUGGCUGGAAAAUAGCAGGCUCUGACAAGCCUCAAGAAAAUCCAGCCAGACAAAAUGCUGUCGGGAGGUCUUAAGACAGAAACUGUCCUGUAGGUAUGAUGAGGAAGGAGAGGCGCUUCAGACAACCAAGAGGAACAGACAAGUUCCUUGAAAGGUCGGAGGCAGCUCUUCGAACCACCGGGGGGGGGGGGGGUAGCGGCCGUUAAAAAUAACCGCUUUGAAGCUGAGGCAAUUGGAAUAAGAUUUUAUGCAGGAGCAGUGUUUGAACAGAGUACAGGUACCAGGUGAGUGAUUGGCCAACUCACAGGUAAAAAAGGAAAUUAAAAAAAAAACCUUUAAAAGGUGUCCCGGCAAGGAAACGAGCAGCUAAUUGGCACUUGGGAAUUUUAAUGGAGGGAGAAGAACAAAGAGGAAGUUAAAGUACUAAAGCCCAGAAAAGAAAACUUUAUAUUUGGAUUUAAAAUUGGAUUUGGAGAAUGUUAGGAUAUGGUUUGAGCCUAACAAGUUGUCCAGGCAAUAUAUGUGUUCUGUGACUUUAAUAUGAAUAUGUAUUGUGUGACUUUAAAGUUUUCCUGCUGAUUCAUUGUAAUGCUGAGUCAUGCUGUAAUUAGAUAAUCACUAGUUGUAAACGUAUUUAAGAAAGGUACUAUAACGUAUUCAGUUGAUGAUAAGCUACCAUAGUAUGUGGACUUGCUAUCAUUGUGCUAUCAUCAUUGGAUGGAUCUGCUACCAUCGUGGUUUGUGAACCAGAGUGAGUUUGUUAUUCUAACCAACUACUGUUUGGGUGGUAAGAAGAGAUUUUUGUAUCACUGGACUGAUUUAACUGGCAAAGACUUGGAUUGAUUUAAAAGACUACGAGAUUGUUUUUUCCCUAUAAAGUAAGCUUUUGAUAAACCAGUUUGCACAUCUCUUAUUCAUUGCUCUCAGCAACGUUUCUCUGUGCGCUACACUC